GACGAACGCUGGCGGCGUGCCUAAUACAUGCAAGUAGAACGCUGAAGGAGGAGCUUACUUCUCAGGAUGAGUUGCGAACGGGUGAGUAACGCGUAGGUAACCUGCCUGGUAGCGGGGAUAACUAUUGGAAACGAUAGCUAAUACCGCAUAAGAGUAGAUGUUGCAUGACAUUUACUUAAAAGGUGCAAUUGCACCACUACCAGAUGGACCUGCGUUGUAUUAGCUAGUUGGUGGGGUAACGGCUUACCAAGGCGACGAUACAUAGCCGACCUGAGAGGGUGAUCGGCCACACUGGGACUGAGACACGGCCCAGACUCCUACGGGAGGCAGCAGUAGGGAAUCUUCGGCAAUGGACGGAAGUCUGACCGAGCAACGCCGCGUGAGUGAAGAAGGUUUUCGGAUCGUAAAGCUCUGUUGUAAGAGAAGAACGAGUGUGAGAGUGGAAAGUUCACACUGUGGCGGCAUCUUACCAGAAAGGGACGGCUAACUACGUGCCAGCAGCCGCCGCAG
rnacentral:rRNA from 1 species